rnacentral:lncRNA from 1 species
UCUACCAGAUGCACAAAGAAGAGUUACUGAAACUAUUCCAAAAAAAUUUUUUUUUAUUAUACUUUAAGUUCUAGGGUACAUGUGCACAACGUGCAGGUUUGUUACAUAUGUAUACUUGUGCCAAGUUGGUGUGCUGCACCCAUCAACUCGUCAGCACCCAUCAACUCGUCAUUUACAUCAACUCGUCAGCACCCAUCAACUCGUCAUUUACAUCAGGUGCAAUCCCUCCCCCCUCCCCCCUCCCCGCUCCCCAUGAUAGGCCCCAGUGUGUGAUGUCCCCCUUCCCGAGUCCAAGUGAUCUCAUUGUUCAGUUCUCACCUAUGAGUGAGAACAUGCGGUGUUUGGUUUUCUGUUCUUGUGAUAGUUUGCUAAGAAUGAUGGUUUCCAGCUGCAUCCAUGUCCCUACAAAGGACACAAACUCAUCCUUUUUUAUGGCUGCAUAGUAUUCCAUGGUGUAUAUGUGCCACAUUUUCUUAAUCCAGUCUGUCACUGAUGGACAUUUGGGUUGAUUCCAAGUCUUUGCUAUUGUGAAUAGUGCCGCAAUAAACAUACGUGUGCAUGUGUCUUUAUAGCAGCAUGAUUUAGAAUCCUUUGGGUAUAUACCCAGUAAUGGGAUGGUUGGGUCAUAUGGUACAUCUAGUUCUAGAUCCUUGAGGAAUCGCCAUACUGUUUUCCAUAAUGGUUGAACUAGUUUACAAUCCCACUAACAGUGUAAAAGUGUUCCUAUUUCUCCACAUCCUCUCCAGCACCUGUUGUUUCCUGACUUUUUAAUGAUCGCCAUUCUAACUGGUGUGAGAUGGUAUCUCAUUGUGGUUUUGAUUUGCAUUUCUCUGAUGGCCAGUGAUGAUGAGCAUUUUUUCAUGUGUCUGUUGGCUGUAUGCGGUUCUUUUUCCUUGUUUUAUUGUGAAAAAUUUCAAAUACACAGAAGAGUUGAAAGAACAAUACAAUGAAUACUUACAUAUCCAGCACCUAGAUUCAAUUGUUAACAUGAAAACUUUUUUAAUAAGGGAAAUUACCUCUUUU